rnacentral:rRNA from 1 species
GACGAACGCUGGCGGCGUGCUUAAUACAUGCAAGUCAACUUGACUUUAGAUAGCAAUAUCGAAAAGUAGGGUGGCGCACGGGUGCGUAACGCGUAGGUAAUCUGCCCUGAGGUCUGACAUAACCCGUCGAAAGGCGGGCUAACAUCAGAUGAUAUAUAAUCACGACAUCGUGGAAAUAUCAAAUCUUCGGAGCCUUGGGAUGAGCCUGCGUCUGAUUAGGUAGUCGGCGGAGUAAUAGCCCACCAAGCCUACGAUCAGUAGCUGGUCUGAGAGGAUGAUCAGCCACACUGGAACUGAGACACGGUCCAGACUCCUACGGGAGGCAGCAGUAAGGAAUAUUGCUCAAUGGGGGAAACCCUGAAGCAGCAACGCCGCGUGAAGGAUGAAAUACUUUUGUAUGUAAACUUCUGUAAGAUGGGAAAAAUAUUCUCCUCGGGAGAAUUGAUUGUACCAUCAGAGUAAGCCCCGGCUAACU